GAUGAAGAACGCAGCGAAAUGCGAUAAGUAAUGCGAAUUGCAGAAUUCCAGUGAGUCAUCGAAUCUUUGAACGCACAUUGCGCCCUUUGGUAUUCCGAAGGGCAUGCCUGUUCGAGUGUCAUUAUCACCCCUCAAGCCCCCGGCUUGGUGUUGGACGGUUUGGUGGAGGCCCCCUCGGGGGCUCCUGCCCCUCCCAAAGACAAUGACGGCGGCCUCGUUGGACCCCCGGUACACUGAGUUCUUCACGGGACACGUAUCGGACACAUGGGUUUACGGGACACGGUCUGCCUCCCCUCAGGGAGAAUCUUUCUAAGGUUGACCUCGGAUCAGGUAGGGAUACCCGCUGAACUUAAGCAUAUCAAUAAGCGGAGGA
rnacentral:misc_RNA from 1 species